rnacentral:rRNA from 1 species
UACGUAGGGUGCAAGCGUUAAUCGGAAUUACUGGGCGUAAAGCGUGCGCAGGCGGUUUUGUAAGUCAGAUGUGAAAUCCCCCGGGCUUAACCUGGGAACUGCGUUUGAAACUACAAGGCUAGAGUGUGACAGAGGGGGGGUGGAAUUCCACGUGUAGCAGUGAAAUGCGUAGAGAUGUGGAGGAACACCGAUGGCGAAGGCAGCCCCCCCGGGUUAACACUGACGCUCAGGCACGAAAGCGUGGGGAGCAAACAGG